AUUGCCACUCCUCCAAUAGCUAUCCCCACAACCAGCCCCGUCGAUAUCCCCGAGGAACUUGAUGGGGGCGCAUUAGCAGAGGACGGUGGCGGAGGACUCCUAGUCGCAGGCGUCGACGGGGUCCCAGAACUCGCAGGAGGAGACGGCGUGUUCGAAGGCGGAGAGGGNNNNCGAAGGCGGGGCAGGGGUAGAAGGGGUUGGUGGAGAGAGUGAAGGAGGCGGAGGAGAAGAGGAUGAGGUUGGUGGUGGUGAGGAAGCAGGAGGGGAUGGAGUGGAAGGUGGUGGAACUGAUGGGGCAGCUGGUGGGGGAGUUGCUGGAGUAGAUGGAGGUGGAGCAGCAGGAGUGGAGGGUGGAGGGGCAGAAGGGGUGGCUGGUGGAGGAGCGGUGGUAUUGGCAGACGGAGGAGGAGGCGCAGUGGUGUUAGCAGACGGCGGAGACGUGGGAGCAGGAGCUGACAUUGUGACGGAACGUCGGAACUACAAGAUUUAAUCUUAAAUUUUUGGUAUGUUAUAACAGAGAGAAUUUAGAGAGAGAGAGUUUCAGAGCG
rnacentral:misc_RNA from 1 species